CCUACGGGAGGCUGCAGUGGGGAAUAUUGGACAAUGGGGCAACCCUGAUCCAGCCAUGCCGCGUGUGUGAAGAAGGCCCUCGGGUUGUAAAGCACUUUCAGUGAGGAAGAACGCCUGGUGGUUAAUACCCAUCAGGAAAGACAUCACUCACAGAAGAAGCACCGGCUAACUCCGUGCCAGCAGCCGCGGUAAUACGGAGGGUGCGAGCGUUAAUCGGAAUUACUGGGCGUAAAGCGCGCGUAGGUGGCUUGAUAAGCCGGUUGUGAAAGCCCCGGGCUCAACCUGGGAACGGCAUCCGGAACUGUCAAGCUAGAGUGCAGGAGAGGAAGGUAGAAUUCCCGGUGUAGUGGUGAAAUGCGUAGAGAUCGGGAGGAAUACCAGUGGCGAAGGCGGCCUUCUGGACUGACACUGACACUGAGGUGCGAAAGCGUGGGUAGCAAACAGGAUUAGAUACCCCUGUAGUC
rnacentral:rRNA from 1 species